rnacentral:rRNA from 1 species
UGCGGUGGGUACGGGCAGACUAGAGUGCAGUAGGGGAGACUGGAAUUCCUGGUGUAGCGGUGGAAUGCGCAGAUAUCAGGAGGAACACCGAUGGCGAAGGCAGGUCUCUGGGCUGUAACUGACGCUGAGGAGCGAAAGCAUGGGGAGCGAACAGGAUUAGAUACCCUGGUAGUNCAUGCCGUAAACGUUGGGCACUAGGUGUGGGGACCAUUCCACGGUUUCCGCGCCGCAGCUAACGCAUUAAGUGCCCCGCCUGGGGAGUACGGCCGCAAGGCUAAAACUCAAAGGAAUUGACGGGGGCCCGCACAAGCGGCGGAGCAUGCGGAUUAAUUCGAUGCAACGCGAAGAACCUUACCAAGGCUUGACAUGUUCUCGAUCGCCGUAGAGAUACGGUUUCCCCUUUGGGGUGGGUUCACAGGUGGUGCAUGGUUGUCGUCAGCUCGUGUCGUGAGAUGUUGGGUUAAGUCCCGCAACGAGCGCAACCCUCGUUCCAUGUUGCCAGCACGUCGUGGUGGGGACUCAUGGGAGACUGCCGGGGUCAACUCGGAGGAAGGUGAGGACGACGUCAAAUCAUCAUGCCCCUUAUGUCUUGGGCUUCACGCAUGCUACAAUGGCCGGUACAAUGGGUUGCGAUACUGUGAGGUGGAGCUAAUCCCAAAAAGCCGGUCUCAGUUCGGAUUGGGGUCUGCAACUCGACCCCAUGAAGUCGGAGUCGCUAGUAAUCGCAGAUCAGCAACGCUGCGGUGAAUACGUUCCCGGGCCUUGUACACACCGCCC